rnacentral:rRNA from 1 species
CCUACGGGAGGCAGCAGUGGGGAAUAUUGCACAAUGGGCGAAAGCCUGAUGCAGCCAUGCCGCGUGUGUGAAGAAGGCCUUCGGGUUGUAAAGCACUUUCAGCGAGGAGGAAAGGAUUUGUUUAAUACGCAACAUCUGUGACGUUACUCGCAGAAGAAGCACCGGCUAACUUUGUGCCAGCAGCCGCGGUAAU